rnacentral:rRNA from 1 species
UUCCAGACUCCUACGGGAGGCAGCAGUGGGGAAUAUUGCACAAUGGGGGGAACCCUGAUGCAGCGACGCCGCGUGGGUGAAGGAGCACCUCGGUGCGUAAAGCCCUAUCGGCAGGGAAGAAACAGACGGUACCUGACUAAGAAGCCCCGGCUAACUACGUGCCAGCAGCCGCGGUAAUACGUAGGGGGCAAGCGUUAUCCGGAUUUACUGGGUGUAAAGGGAGCGUAGACGGUAUGGCAAGUCUGAAGUGAAAGCCCAGGGCUUAACCCUGGGACUGCUUUGGAAACUGUUAGACUAGAGUGCUGGAGAGGUAAGUGGAAUUCCUAGUGUAGCGGUGAAAUGCGUAGAUAUUAGGAGGAACACCAGUGGCGAAGGCGGCUUACUGGACAGUAACUGACGUUGAGGCUCGAAAGCGUGGGGAGCAAACAGGAUUAGAUACCCUCGUAC